rnacentral:misc_RNA from 1 species
UUAAGUUCAGCGGGUAUCCCUACCUGAUCCGAGGUCAAACCUGAGGUAGAUUUGGGGUUGUUGGCAAGUCCCGCGGGGGUCCUACAGCUAAGCAAUUACUACGCUGAGAGCCAUCACGGCACCGCCAAGGAGUUUAAGGGCCGCCGAUACAGCGGACCCCAAGACCACGCAGAGCGUGAGUUGGUCAUUAUGACGCUCGA